CCUCUUUCAUUUGCCGGAACAUCAGCCUAUAUCAGGCGUGCCGGCCUGUCCGGAUAUGGCGAUAAAUGGUCAGUGAAAUAAACCUAUCGGACCCGGGGGCGGUACCCGGCGCCUCCACCCAAGCGCAUUGAAUUGCAAGGCCUUGCAAACAGUGCGUUUCGGCGGGGGCGAAAUAGGAUCGACGAGGGCGUAAAGACUGUGCUUUUGCUCGGUAUUGUACCACCGUUAUCGGGCUACUUUUGUAGUUGCAAAUGACAACUAUGCUAUGGACAACGCUGUCGCUGCGUAAUGCAGUGCCGGUAGUCCUUAAAGCCCUACUGGGUUAGCACCUGUAGGCGGGGUUCGGAGGCACCUGGCAACAGAAGCCUCCACU
rnacentral:tmRNA from 1 species